rnacentral:rRNA from 1 species
UACGGAGGGUGCAAGCGUUAUCCGGAAUCACUGGGUUUAAAGGGUGCGUAGGCGGUUUGAUAAGUCAGAGGUGAAAGGUUAUCGCUUAACGAUAAGACUGCCUUUGAUACUGUUGGACUUGAAUUGGGAUAAGGUAAGCGGAAUGUGACAUGUAGCGGUGAAAUGCAUAGAUAUGUCAUAGAACACCAAUUGCGAAGGCAGCUUACUGGGCCUUGAUUGACGCUGAGGCACGAAAGCGUGGGGAUCAAACAGG